rnacentral:rRNA from 1 species
CCUACGGGAGGCAGCAGUGGGGAAUAUUGGACAAUGGGGGCAACCCUGAUCCAGCCAUGCCGCGUGUGUGAAGAAGGCCCUCGGGUUGUAAAGCACUUUCAGUGAGGAAGAACGCCUGGUGGUUAAUACCCAUCAGGAAAGACAUCACUCACAGAAGAAGCACCGGCUAACUCCGUGCCAGCAGCCGCGGUAAUACGGAGGGUGCGAGCGUCAAUCGGAAUUACUGGGCGUAAAGCGCGCGUAGGUGGCUUGAUAAGCCGGUUGUGAAAGCCCCGGGCUCAACCUGGGAACGGCAUCCGGAACUGUCAAGCUAGAGUGCAGGAGAGGAAGGUAGAAUUCCCGGUGUAGCGGUGAAAUGCGUAGAGAUCGGGAGGAAUACCAGUGGCGAAGGCGGCCUUCUGGACUGACACUGACACUGAGGUGCGAAAGCGUGGGUAGCAAACAGGAUUAGAUACCCUGGUAGUC